rnacentral:rRNA from 1 species
GCCGUACGGGUCCGUCGGGAAAUCCGCCCGCUCAACGGGCGGACGUCCGGCGGAAACCAUACGGCUUGGGACCAGAGGACCCGAGGGGUACGUCGGGGGUAGGAGUGAAAUCCCGAGAUCCUCGACGGACCGACGGUGGCGAAAGCGCCUCGGGAAGAUGGAUCCGACGGUCAGGGACGACAGCUUGGGUCUCGAACCGGAUUAGAUACCCGGGUAGUCCAAGCUGUAAACGAUGCUCGCUAGGUGUGGCGUACGCUACGAGCCUGCGCUGUGCCAAAGGGAAGCCACGAAGCGAGCCGCCUGGGAAGUACGUCUGCAAGGAUGAACCUUAAAGGAAUUGUCGGGGGAGCACUACAAUGGGAGGAGCCUGCGGUUUAAUUGGUACUCAACGCCGGACAUCUCACCGGUUCCGACUCUGGGAGUGAAGGUCAGCUUGACGAGCUUACUAGACCCAGAGAGAGGUGGUGCAUGGCAUCCGUCAGCUCGUACCGUGAGGCGUCCUGUUAAGUUAGGCAACGGGCGAGACCCGUGUCCGUAGUUGCCAGCAGCACGUUCAGUGGCUGGGUACACUACGGAGACUGCCUCCGCUAAGGAGGAGGAAGGAGCGGGCAACGGUAGGUCAGUAUGCCCCGAAUGAACCGGGCAACACGCGGGCUACAAUGGCACGGACAGCGGGAUGCAGCCCCGAGAGGGGUAGCUAAUCCCACAAACCGUGUCUCAGUUCGGAUUGAGGACUGAAACCCGUCCUCAUG